GCUGUUAAGGGUUCGUAGUUGAACUGUGGGCUGUCUUCAAGAGAGACACUUACGUCCCCGCUCAUCCUGAGCGCGGGGCCUGUGCGCUUGCAGCCCGUGAACAUCCGAAACAAAGACCGCGGAACGACACUUCCCCUCAACUUUUACGCGCCCAAUGUGCGCCGAGGGGCGUCCGCGUUUUUUCUGUGACUAAAAAAAUGUGACUCAAGCAGUCAUUCGACAUGAAUUGGAAAGCAUGGGUAACAACGCAGCAGCCUGCGGGCAACCGUUAUAGGCUUUUGUUGGCCCUAAAUGUCUGUGGGGAUUAUGGAUCCGCACGACAAGCGGUUCGGGGUUUCGUCCCCACGCCUCCGCCGUCCGGCUGCUUUCGGGCCCGGUGGCGGCUUGCGGCGUCCAGGAAUGAAGGAGGGUUGUUCGGGGGGAAAGUACUUCGUCGUGAGAGGUGAAAUUCUUAGACCGACGAAAGACUAACUCAGCGAAGGCAUUCUCCAAGGAUACCUUCCUCAAUCAAGAACCAAAGUGUGGAGAUCGAGAUGAUU
rnacentral:rRNA from 1 species